AGAAAGACUAUUGAGAACAAAGGAUUCAAGCUAAUAAAAUCAAGAACGAACAUAUGCAAUGUGAGUUUAGCUGCUAUAAAAGGAAGGAAGAUGAAGAUCGUUUGGAUGGAGUUUUUGUACCUACAUGCGAUCAAUUCAAGUAUUUUCUAUUCUAUCAACACAAAAGAAUGAAACUUUAAAUGAGGAUGUAACCCAUAGGAUCAAUACAGGAUGAAUGAAAUGGAAAAGAGCAACCGGGGAAUUAUUCGACUAUAAGAUCUUUAACAUAGUGAAAGGUAAGUUCUAUAGGAUUGUGGUCAGACCAACUCUAUUAUAUGAGAGUAAAUGUUGGGCA
rnacentral:misc_RNA from 1 species